CCAGUCUGAAAAUCACUGGGGGUCUGCGGUGGCCCCUGGUGAGGUAACUGUGCCGACAGCAGAGGGAACAUCAAGCUUAUUGCCCACGGCGCUGCGUGGGGAGUGAAACCCAUGUUCCCACAGCC